rnacentral:lncRNA from 1 species
UUGCGACGCAACCCUUCGCCUUCCCCUGCUUUACCAAAAAAAUUCAACUUACAACCCGGAUGAAAAAUUGGGAAUGGUUAUACAUAUAUCUUACCAAUGCACGAAUCAAACAGAAAAACACUGGCAAUAAUUAUUUCCUCUCUACUUCCCUCUCUUCGUGUGUUGAUUCAGUCUCCUGUAAUCGAUUUUGAUUCAUCCUGGUUUACUUGAAGCACUUGCAAACGAUCUAUAUCGCACAAUCUUCGUUCCUUUUGACAGCAAUAUUCUAGGGGUAUCAGGAUUGUGGGUAUAAAAUGAUGCAUUUACAAGGGAGGAGAUGGGAUGCAAAAGGGAUCGAAUAAGGGUUCGCUUAUGAUGUUGGAACCACUUUUGAAUCUUAUGGUAUUUUCACGGCAGCCAUGGCGUAUUGUAUUAAUUUCCCACGAUUGUUGGGAACAUCUUUUCUGCAAUUUUCACCUUUUCUUCGCAUUAGGUGCAUUGACUGGUGUUUUGAUUGGUCAAGAAAGAGAGAAUGGGUGCGUUAUUUGGAGCCAUUUCGGGUGUGGUUGUUUCGAUUGAAGUUUCGAAUCUGCUCUUUUUUUGUGGCACUCUGAUGAGUCUGGGAUCAGAUGCAUUCUAUACUUGUAUAUUGUGAAGAUAAAGUGAAGCCAUCCAAGAGACAAAGUUUAGUCAAGGGGAAGUUCAGAUGAGUGCCAAGGUUAGGAUAAUCAAUAAUAACAUUGGUGUGGUAACUAUUUUUUUUUUUUUUUUUUUGUAACAACUAAACUUUGCCCCCCUUUAAUACUAUACUAAAUUACACCUCUCAAGAAUUGAACCUUGAUCUCCCUACAAGAGGUAGCUAUUGAUAUAUGAUUUUUGUCAAUGCUAGAUGAUCUUGAACCAAAUUGUAAAUGACCUUCAGUCAUGAAUAUUAUUUGGUUAAUCAAUGAUUGUAUUAUAUCAUCUUAUUGUUUCAGUUGCUAUUAACAUGAUUAAAAUCGUUUCUUAACUUUUGGUCCAUGUUAGUUUGGGAUAAUAUUAAAAUGGUUGAUGUGUUGGUGUUGGUGAUGAUUUUUGACAUGUUGCUGCUUCUAUUGUUGUUUAUUAUAGUUUUGUCUAAAUUUUUUUCUUCAUCCUUGAAUAGUUUGAUUUGGGGUAUUCAAGAAUAAUUCAGUUGUAGUGAUGGAAAUAUCAUCAUUCAUUAAAGUUCAUUUAUGAUCAUACAACCAUUAAAACAUACAUACAAGAAAGUUUAAAAAUGCAUACAUUAUUAUGUGAUAAAUAUAUUGCGUAUUGUACUCCCCGUUAAAAAAGAUGUUUGAACCAAAACGCCUUAGUGUGGUGUUAUAGGCUGGAGGUUAGGCAAAAUGAAAAGAAUGUUUUAUGUUUUCAUAUCUAAUAUAGUGAUACCAAAGACUUUCGUAAUUGACAUCCCGCUGCAACGCGCGGGUUAGCGUUCACUCGUUUAUUAUGUAAUGCAACCAAGACCAACAAGCACUGGACUAACACACAUCAUCAACAGAAUAACAUGAUCAGCGUAAAGAACAAAACUAACCCUUUUACCAUAAACCACAAAACAUUUUAAAAAAACAAAUACAACUCAUAUGACAAAUAGACAUUCGAUUAUUCUCAUCAAGAGACUUUGAGCAGUCAAGGACCCUCUUUUUUUUAAAAAAAACAAUUUAGCAUUUAGAAA